rnacentral:rRNA from 1 species
GGUUCGAUUAUGGCUCAGAUUGAACGCUGGCGGGAUGCUUUACACAUGCGUUUGAACUACAGCACGGACUUCGGUCUGUGGCGAGUGGCGAACGGGUGAGUAAUGUAUCGAACGCAGCCUAGUAGCGGGGGAUAACUACGCGAAAGCGGUGAAGUUAAUACCGUACACCGCUCCUGGGGGAAAGCGGGGGACCUCGGCCUCGCACUAUUAGAGUGGCCGAUAUCGGAUUAGCUAGUUGGUGGGGUAACGGCUCACCAAGGCGACGAUCCGUAGCUGGUUUGAGAGGACGACCAGCCACACUGGGGACUGAGAUACGCCUGGAUCACGGAGGCAGGGAAUUUUGGACAAUGGGGAAACCUCUGAUCCAGCCAUCCCGCGUGUGCGAUGAAGGCCUUCGGGUUGUAAAGCACUUUUUGCGGAAAGAAACGGCACGGAUAACACCGUGCAACUGACGGUACCUGCAGAAUAAGCACCGGCUAACCACGUGCCAGCAGCCGCGGCAAUACGUAGGGUGCAAGCGUUAAUCGGAAUUACUGGGCGUAAAGCGUGCGCAGGCGGUUCGGAAAGAAAGAUGUAAACCCAGAGCUUAACUUUGGAACUGCAUUUUUAACUACCGAGCUAGAGUAGGUCAGAGUGAGGUGAUUCAUGUGCAAGAAAUGCGUAGAAGAUACAUGGAGAAAUCACUGAUACGAGCAAACUCCUAGAUAAUCACUUACGCCGUGCAUCAUGGGCGGUGGGGAGCAAACAGGAUUAGAUACUCCUGGUAGUCCACGCCCUAAACGAUGCUGACCAGUUGGUAAUUGGCCUGUAGAAGCGCAGCUAAUGCGUGAAGUUGGACCGCCUGGGGAGUACGGUCGCAAGAUUAAAACUCAAAGGAAUUGACGGGGACCCGCACAAGCGGUGGAUGAUGUGAUUAAUUCGAUGCAACGCGAAAACCUUACCUACCCUUGACAUGUCUGAAUCCUGAAAGAGAUUUGGGAGUGCUCGCAAGAGAACCGGAACACAGGUGCUACACGGCCGUCACCGUAAUGAGAUGUUGGGUUAAGUCCCACAACGAGCGGCAACCUCUUGUCAUUAGUUGCUACGAAAGGGCACUCUACUGUAUCGCCAGUGACAAACCGAGGAAGGUGGGGAUGACGUCAAGUCCUCAUGGCCCUUAUGGGUAGGGCUUCACACGUCAUACAAUGGUCGGGACAGAGGGUCGCCAACCCGCGAGGGGAGCCAAUCCCAGAAACCCGAUCGUAGUCCGGAUCGCGGCAGCUCCGCAACCCGACCGGGUGCAGUCGGAAUCGCUAGUAAUCGCGGAUCAGCAUGUCGCGGGCACGGUUCCCGGUCUUGUACACACCGCCCGUCACACCAUGGGAGUGUUUUACCAGAAGUAGUUAGCCUAACCGUAAGGAGGGUUAUCACUACAGAGAUCCAACAUCAGGGUGAAGUCGUAUCAAGGUA